rnacentral:lncRNA from 1 species
UCACCCUUCUCAGCACGCAUUUUCUCCCAGACAAACAUGUCAGCUGCUGAGUGGUCCCACUGUCUGCACAUAGAUCUCAAAUCCAGCACAUUGCAAAGAGCUUCAUGACAAGAAAUAUGGCUUCAUAAUCACAACGUUAAUCACUGAUCUCCUCCACGAGUCUGUGUCAGAGACUGGUCAGCAGACCACGUGCAUGGCAGCCACCAGCAAGCGCACCGCCUCCGCCUCUGCAGUUCGGCUGCCCUGACUGUUGUCCAUAGGACCGCAAACUACUCCCACUACUCAGCCAAGUAGGCUUGGCUGCUGCCACGUCUGAACCAUUUAGGUGAAACAUGGCUGCUCCAUCUCCCUCAACCUGAAGAUAAAAAUGAAUCAAAAUAAAAAUAUGUGCAAGAGGAUUGUUCUAUAUUUAAACUGUCUUUUUCUGUUAGGUUAAGGGUGGGCAA